rnacentral:RNase_P_RNA from 1 species
GGAGCCGGCCGGAUGAUCGCCUGUCGAUUCGUCGGCGGGAGGAAAGUCCGGACUCCAGAGGGCAGGGCGCUGGGUAACACCCAGGCGGAGCGAUCCGACACCGGCGCAACAGAGAGUAGACCGCCGAUGGCCGGGGCAACCCGGAUCAGGCAAGGGUGAAACGGCGGGGUAAGAGCCCACCGCGUCUGUGGUGACACAGACGGCACGGUAAGCGUCGCCCGGAGCAAGACCAAAUAGGAGGGCACCCGAGGCUCGACCAUAUGGGAGCCUCGGACCGGCCGGCCCGGCCGAGUCCUCGGGUAGGUCGCACGAGGCCUGGGGUAACUCAGGUCCCAGAGAAAUGAUCAUCCCCGCAUCAGUUCGCUGAGGCGGGACAGAAUCCGGCUUACAGGCCGGCUCCAACG